rnacentral:tRNA from 1 species
GGGGCUGUAGCUCAGUUGGCUAGAGCAUCGCCCUUGCAAGGCGAGGGUCCUCGGUUCAAAUCCGAGUAGCUCCACCA